AGGAGGUGUCGCAGUCAAGACGGUUGAGAAAAUGCCGUGAACCUUGCUGUAUUGAGCCCCUUUUCUCAACCGUUUUGACUGCGUCAGGGGGUUCAGAG
rnacentral:pre_miRNA from 1 species